UGAAGAUGAAGCACCUCAUUUGGAGGACUUGGGGAGGCACAGUCAAGAAGGAGUCUCCAGGGACCUCCCUGGUGGUCCCAUGGCUAAGACUCUGCGCUCCCAAGGCAGGAGGCCUGGGUUCGAUCCCUGGUCGGGGAACUAUGAUUCCACACGCUGCAGCUAAGACUUGCCACAGCCAAAUAAAUAAAAAUGAAUACUGAAAACAAGACUAAGUCUCCAAACAUGGCUGCUUCCUGUGGGUGAUGGUGGGCCCCUCAGAGGUUCCAUCAGAAAACCCGGCCGUGAACUUCUCAGAAGCCUGGAGGAUGGUGGAGAAGAAGACUAUGUCGGGGAAAUAGAAACUGGAAGACGUCAUUGUCCAUGUCCCACUUGGGCCAGG
ensembl:lncRNA